rnacentral:rRNA from 1 species
ACUGAGUACAGCGGCGGACGGGUGAGUAACGCGUAGGAAUCUACCCAGUAGUGGGGGACAACUUAGGGAAACUUAAGCUAAUACCGCAUACGACCUAAGGGUGAAAGUGGGGGAUCUUCGGACCUCACGCUAUCAGAGGAGCCUGCGUUGGAUUAGCUAGUUGGUGGGGUAAAGGCCCACCAAGGCGACGAUCCAUAGCUGGUCUGAGAGGAUGAUCAGCCACACUGGAACUGAGACACGGUCCAGACUCC